rnacentral:rRNA from 1 species
CAGCAGUGGGGAAUAUUGCACAAUGGGGGAAACCCUGAUGCAGCGACGCCGCGUGGAGGAAGAAGGUCUUCGGAUUGUAAACUCCUGUUGUUGAGGAAGAUAAUGACGGUACUCAACAAGGAAGUGACGGCUAACUACGUGCCAGCAGCCGCGGUAAAACGUAGGUCACAAGCGUUGUCCGGAAUUACUGGGUGUAAAGGGAGCGCAGGCGGGAGAACAAGUUGGAAGUGAAAUCCAUGGGCUCAACCCAUGAACUGCUUUCAAAACUGUUUUUCUUGAGUAGUGCAGAGGUAGGCGGAAUUCCCGGUGUAGCGGUGGAAUGCGUAGAUAUCGGGAGGAACACCAGUGGCGAAGGCGGCCUACUGGGCACCAACUGACGCUGAGGCUCGAAAGUGUGGGUAGCAAACAGGAUUAGAUACCCUGGUAGUCCACACCGUAAACGAUGAUUACUAGGUGUUGGAGGAUUGACCCCUUCAGUGCCGCAGUUAACACAAUAAGUAAUCCACCUGGGGAGUACGACCGCAAGGUUGAAACUCAAAGGAAUUGACGGGGGCCCGCACAAGCAGUGGAGUAUGUGGUUUAAUUCGACGCAACGCGAAGAACCUUACCAAGUCUUGACAUCCCUUGACGAUGCUGGAAACAGCAUUUCUCUUCGGAGCAAGGAGACAGGUGGUGCAUGGUUGUCGUCAGCUCGUGUCGUGAGAUGUUGGGUUAAGUCCCGCAACGAGCGCAACCCUUAUGGUCAGUUACUACGCAAGAGGACUCUGGCCAGACUGCCGUUGACAAAACGGAGGAAGGUGGGGAUGACGUCAAAUCAUCAUGCCCUUUAUGACUUGGGCUACACACGUACUACAAUGGCGUUAAACAAAGAGAAGCAAGACCGCGAGGUGGAGCAAAACUCAGAAACAACGUCCCAGUUCGGACUGCAGGCUGCAACUCGCCUGCACGAAGUCGGAAUUGCUAGUAAUCGUGGAUCAGCAUGCCACGGUGAAUACGUUCCCGGGCCUUGUACACACCGCCCGUCACACCAUGAGAGCCGGGGGGACCCGAAGUCGGUAGUCUAACCGCAAGGAGGACGCCGCCGAAGGUAAAACUGGUGAUUGGGGUGAAGUCGUAACAAGGUAGCCGUAGGAGAACCUGCGGCUG